UACAGAGGCCCCAAGCGUUACUGAGAAUCACUGGGUUUAAAGGGUGCGUAGGUGGCGCGUUAAGUCCGUUGUGAAAUCCCUGGGCUCAACCCAGGAAUUGCUUCGGAUACUGGCGUGCUUGAGGCUAGUAGGGGUCACUGGAACUGACGGUGGAGCGGUGAAAUGCGUAGAUAUCGUCAGGAACGCCGAUGGUGAAGACAGGUGACUGGGCUAGUUCUGACACUGAGGCACGAAAGCGUGGGGAGCGAACGGGAGUU
rnacentral:rRNA from 1 species